AUGUCAUGGUGUGGGCGUUUCCUCAACAGCUCCUUAAACUAUUGCCAAGCGUCAGGAACAGCUUCAUCGUCCAGUUGUUUAAAAAGAUAGAUCUCAUUCCUGCACUU